UUCGCUUCUUGGCUCAUUGAGCUAAGAUCAAAGUUUCGGCUCUCAUCAACUUAACAUCUGAUACGCUCCCCAUCGGGGAUCCAGAAUAUUAAACUGGUUUUUGGAAGGUGGCGGAGUCUCUAGGACUUGCUCCGGCUCUGCCACAGAUCAACCCUAUAGUGCGCUGCCAUAGGGAACGUCCCACUUAAU